AGCUAAUACCGCAUAACGUCGCAAGACCAAAGAGGGGGACCUUCGGGCCUCUUGCCAUCGGAUGUGCCCAGAUGGGAUUAGCUAGUAGGUGGGGUAACGGCUCACCUAGGCGACGAUCCCUAGCUGGUCUGAGAGGAUGACCAGCCACACUGGAACUGAGACACGGUCCAGACUCCUACGGGAGGCAGCAGUGGGGAAUAUUGCACAAUGGGCGCAAGCCUGAUGCAGCCAUGCCGCGUGUAUGAAGAAGGCCUUCGGGUUGUAAAGUACUUUCAGCGGGGAGGAAGGGAGUAAAGUUAAUACCUUUGCUCAUUGACGUUACCCGCAGAAGAAGCACCGGCUAACUCCGUGCCAGCAGCCGCGGUAAUACGGAGGGUGCAAGCGUUAAUCGGAAUUACUGGGCGUAAAGCGCACGCAGGCGGUUUGUUAAGUCAGAUGUGAAAUCCCCGGGCUCAACCUGGGAACUGCAUCUGAUACUGGCAAGCUUGAGUCUCGUAGAGGGGGGUAGAAUUCCAGGUGUAGCGGUGAAAUGCGUAGAGAUCUGGAGGAAUACCGGUGGCGAAGGCGGCCCCCUGGACGAAGACUGACGCUCAGGUGCGAAAGCGUGGGGAGCAAACAGGAUUAGAUACCCUGGUAGUCCACGCCGUAAACGAUGUCGACUUGGAGGUUGUGCCCUUGAGGCGUGGCUUCCGGAGCUAACGCGUUAAGUCGACCGCCUGGGGAGUACGGCCGCAAGGUUAAAACUCAAAUGAAUUGACGGGGGCCCGCACAAGCGGUGGAGCAUGUGGUUUAAUUCGAUGCAACGCGAAGAACCUUACCUGGUCUUGACAUCCACGGAAGUUUUCAGAGAUGAGAAUGUGCCUUCGGGAACCGUGAGACAGGUGCUGCAUGGCUGUCGUCAGCUCGUGCUGUGAAAUGUUGGGUUAAGUCCCGCAACGAGCGCAACCCUUAUCCUUUGUUGCCAGCGGUCCGGCCGGGAACUCAAAGGAGACUGCCAGUGAUAAACUGGAGGAAGGCGGGGAUGACGUCAAGUCAUCAUGGCCCUUACGACCAGGGCUACACACGUGCUACAAUGGCGCAUACAAAGAGAAGCGACCUCGCGAGAGCAAGCGGACCUCAUAAAGUGCGUCGUAGUCCGGAUUGGAGUCUGCAACUCGACUCCAUGAAGUCGGAAUCGCUAGUAAUCGUGGAACAGAAUGCCACGGUGAAUACGUUCCCGGGCCUUGUACACACCGCCCGUCACACCAUGGGAGUGGGUUGCAAAAGAAGUAGGUAGCUUAACCUUCGGGAGGGCGCUUACCACUUUGUGAUUCAUGACUGGGGUGAAGUCGUAACAAGGUA
rnacentral:rRNA from 1 species